ensembl:lncRNA
AGUUUGCAGCCCCCAUGACGUCAGGCCCAACGGCCAAUGGCGGGGCACUGGGGGUUGGGGGCCUCACAAUGGCAGCGCGCGGGUGCAUAUGUCCCCAAUUAGGGCCGGGCGCCGCCAUUGUCCCUUCCUCGCCCCCUCCUCGCGUUGGGGUCUCUGAGCUGAGCUCUCCCCACGCAGUCUGCUCUGGCUAUCGACUAUGGUCGCGGAGCGGCAAGCAGAGACUGCAGCGUGGUGACCUUAUACGGACUGGCCCGGCGGGCGCAGGUGCCAGGGCGGCACAGCAGUGCUGAGCUCAGCUCCCUUCCUCCUGCUGCGUGCUGGGCUGCUACCUGCAUCCACUGCCUCGCGUCCGGCCACGGCAGAACACCAUGAUAGAAAAGUGUAGCAGAACAAAGUUACUCAGUGCACAGCAGCCAGGAAGCAAAGAGGGAUGCAGGAGAGUGCUGGACAAGGCUGGUGUUCUCUGGACAUCUCAUCUGCUACCACUACUGAGCUGACAGAAACAUCUUACCCAGGCCAUUGGUCGUGGAGACAAUCUGGAGAAUGUAAUGAUGAAUUCUGUCAACCUGACUGAACUCAGCAGCACCAGGGAAACACGUGGCUAGGUAUGUCUACAAGGCCCAGCUCGAGCGAGUGUGGACUCACAUCUUGUGGGCUCAAACACUGGAUCCUAUAGAAAGGAGAAAGUGGGCUGAGUGCCCACCAGCAUUUGUCCCUCUCUGCUUCCCGUAUCAUCUGGAUACAAAUGAGACCGGCUCCUCUAUGCUCUUGCUCACUAUGCCUUCCCCGCCAUGACAGGCUGCAUCCUGUCACACAAACCUCUCCUCCCUUAAGCCAUUUCUCCUCAGGUCGGUCACAGCAACGAGUAACUGAUAAGAGGUUCAAACCUGGGCAUUUAGCUCCUCCUUUCUCCCCAUGCCUUCCUGAUUUAAAAAUAAAAAAAUGAAAACAGGC